GUGCUUGCUUCAGCAGCACAUUUACUAAAAUUGGAAUGAUAUCGAUAAGAUUAGCAUGGCAAGGAUGACACACAAAUUCAUGAAACGCUUCAUAUUUUU
rnacentral:snRNA from 1 species